GACGGUACGUGCAGAAGAAGCGCCGGCUAACUACGUGCCAGCAGCCGCGGUAAUACGUAGGGCGCAAGCGUUGUCCGGAAUUAUUGGGCGUAAAGAGCUCGUAGGCGGUUUGUCGCGUCUGCUGUGAAAGCCCGGGGCUUAACCCCGGGUGUGCAGUGGGUACGGGCAGACUUGAGUGCAGUAGGGGAGACUGGAAUUCCUGGUGUAGCGGUGAAAUGCGCAGAUAUCAGGAGGAACACCGAUGGCGAAGGCAGGUCUCUGGGCUGUUACUGACGCUGAGGAGCGAAAGCAUGGGGAGCGAACAGGAUUAGAUACCCUGGUAGUCCAUGCCGUAAACGUUGGGCACUAGGUGUGGGGAACAUUCCACGUUUUCCGCGCCGUAGCUAACGCAUUAAGUGCCCCGCCUGGGGAGUACGGCCGCAAGGCUAAAACUCAAAGGAAUUGAC
rnacentral:rRNA from 1 species